AUUGAACGCUGGCUGCAGGCCUAACACAUGCAAGUCGAGCGGAUGAAGGGAGCUUGCUCCUGGAUUCAGCGGCGGACGGGUGAGUAAUGCCUAGGAAUCUGCCUGGUAGUGGGGGAUAACGUCCGGAAACGGGCGCUAAUACCGCAUACGUCCUGAGGGAGAAAGUGGGGGAUCUUCGGACCUCACGCUAUCAGAUGAGCCUAGGUCGGAUUAGCUAGUUGGUGGGGUAAAGGCCUACCAAGGCGACGAUCCGUAACUGGUCUGAGAGGAUGAUCAGUCACACUGGAACUGAGACACGGUCCAGACUCCUACGGGAGGCAGCAGUGGGGAAUAUUGGACAAUGGGCGAAAGCCUGAUCCAGCCAUGCCGCGUGUGUGAAGAAGGUCUUCGGAUUGUAAAGCACUUUAAGUUGGGAAGAAGGGCAGUAAGUUAAUACCUUGCUGUUUUGACGUUACCAACAGAAUAAGCACCGGCUAACUUCGUG
rnacentral:rRNA from 1 species